rnacentral:rRNA from 1 species
UACGGAGGGUGCGAGCGUUAACCGGAAUUACUGGGCGUAAAGGGUGCGUAGGUGGUUUGAUAAGUUAGCUGUGAAAUUCCUGGGCUCAACCUGGGGUGGUCAGCUAAGACUGUUGAACUGGAGUAUAGGAGAGGGUAGUGGAAUUUCCGGUGUAGCGGUGAAAUGCGUAGAGAUCGGAAGGAACACCAGUGGCGAAGGCGGCUACCUGGCCUGAUACUGACACUGAGGCACGAAAGCGUGGGGAGCAAACAGG